UUUUUUUUUUUUGGGGGAGCGAGAGAGAGAGAGAGGGGGGAGGAGGGGGGAGGACUGCGGGCUAGCAAGCCGGGCAGUCGGCUACCGAUGUCCUGUGACUGAGGGCUCGCUGGUAUUCCUUGAAAUGCGGAGUCUUCCCUGGCGGCCUCAAGUCCCCCUGCAUCGCUUCUACACAUGCGUGAAGUUAGAACGUACCGGACCGAACUUCCGGUCACUGUUUUCAAAAUAAAACCUAUAUAUAUAUAUAUAUACUCUAUGAAUGUGCCACUUUGUUUGUGUGUGUGUGACUACAUUUUUAACAAUAUUUAUGGAAGAUAUAUUACAUAGAUAACAAAUCAAAGUGUUGUGAUGACUUCACAUAACAUCAGUUCACUACGGCAAUCCUGUUGUAGCCUACAUGUGCAUAAGUUGACAUCCGACAUUAAAAUAGAUAUAAUAAUAAAUUGUGUUAAGUAACACAGAAGGUCUGAACCAUCCCUUAGUUAUGCUGCUAUAGGCCUAGACUAUCGGGGGAUUUCCCAUGGUGCACUGAGCUACUCUCUUCCUCUCUCUUUCUGCACUCAUUCAUGUCCCAUUAAUGCAUGUUACUAACUCCACUUCUUCCCCGGAGUUCUUGUGCUUUCUCGUCUCGCAGGUUCUCAUGGAUCCUGGUGGAGCCUCCUGCCAUGGUCCUGCUUGACUGCCAUUGCCAAUACUGUUGUUGCUGUGCACCUGUCUGUCUGUCUGUCUCUCGCUCUCUUCCCUCUCUCUCUCUCUCUCUCUCUCUCUCUCACCCCAACUGGUCGAGACAGACGACCACCCACCUUGAGCCGGAGGAUCUGUCCUAGGUUUCUGCCUUUUAACAGGCAGUUUUUCCUUGCCCUUGUCGCCAAGUGCUUGCUCAUGGUGGUACUGUUGGGUCUCUGUAAUUAAUGUUAAAGAGUUUGGUCUAGACCUGCUCUAUUUGAAAAGUGUCCUGAGAUAACUUCUGUUAUGAAUUGGCACUAUACAAAUAAAAUUGAAUUGAAUUGAAUUGAAUUGAAUUAUAAAGUUCAAACACUGAAUAAAGACUGCAUUUGGUGCCA